rnacentral:misc_RNA from 1 species
UACAGAGGGCCCAAGCGCUGUGCGGAUUUACUAGGCUUAAAGGGUGCGUAGGCGGAAAUCUAAGUGUCUUGUGAAAGCCCACGGCUCAACCGUGGAACUGCAGGGCAUACUGGGUUUCUUGAGGCUGGUAGGCGCCGCCGGAACUGUAGGUGUAGCGGUGAAAUGCGUAGAUAUCUACAGGAACGCCGAUGGUGAAGACGGGCGGCAGGGCCAGUACUGACGCUGAGGCACGAAAGCGUGGGGAGCAAACAGG